UAGCCAAAGAAGACUGGUUCCAGUUGUGGAACUGAACCAGAAAUACAGUCCCAGUGAAGAGGACAAAAGAUUGGCUAAAAUUCUCGGAGAGGUUUUAGCCAGAAGAAAGUGUAGGAAGCAGGAACUGAAUAUAAAG